UGGGGAAUAUUGCACAAUGGGGGAAACCCUGAUGCAGCGACGCCGCGUGAGCGAAGAAGUAUUUCGGUAUGUAAAGCUCUAUCAGCAGGGAAGACAAUGACGGUACCUGAAUAAGAAGCUCCGGCUAAAUACGUGCCAGCAGCCGCGGUAAUACGUAUGGAGCAAGCGUUAUCCGGAUUUACUGGGUGUAAAGGGAGCGUAGACGGUGCUGCAAGUCUGAUGUGAAAACCCGGGGCCCAACCGCGGGAGUGCAUUGGAAACUGUGGGACUGGAGUGCAGGAGGGGCAGGCGGAAUUCCUAGUGUAGCGGUGAAAUGCGUAGAUAUUAGGAGGAACACCGGUGGCGAAGGCGGCCUGCUGGACUGUAACUGACGUUGAGGCUCGAAAGCGUGGGGAGCAAACAGG
rnacentral:rRNA from 1 species